AGAGAGAGAGAGAAGGAGCCAGCAGACCCAUUAACACACUCAGUGUGUUCUGAACCUCCAGGAACUCAGCCUGAAUCACCACCCUUGUCAACAGUGCCUCUUGGCAGUGUCUGAAGAUUCUGUCCUCAGCCUCCGAACCGGCUUCUUCAAUCUUCCCGCAUAGACGAGGACCAGCAGCUCUUCAGGGACCCUCCAGGCUCACACUGGGACUCUUGAGACAUCCAGCCCCCUGGACCAAAAGAUCUCUGCAUUCUCAGCCUCUUCACGGGACACAGACACUGUUGGGCCAUCAAACUGCAUCCUGUAACCCAAUCUAAUGAGUCCCAACUUUGUGUGUGUGGUGUGUGUGGUGUGUGUAUAUGUGGUGUGUGAUGUGUGUGAGUCACGGUGUGAUGGGUAGUGUAUGUGUGUGUGGUGUGUGAUGUGUAAUGUGUGUGAUGUAUAAGGUGUGUGUAUGGUGUAUAGUAUAUGUGUGUAUAUGUAUGUGUGUGUGGUAUGUGGUGUGUGUGGUAUGUGUGUGUGUGGUAUGUGUGUGUGUAUAAAUGUGUGUGUCUGUGUGGUGUGUGUGUGUGUUUGUAUGUGUGUAGUAUGUGAUGUGUGUGUGUAGUGUAUAGAUAUGUGUGGUAUGUAUGUGUGUUGUGUGUGUGGUGUAUGUGGUGUUGUAUGGUAUGUAGUAUAUGUAUGUGUAUAUGUGUGUGUGUGUGUGGUAUUUGAUGUGUGUAUGUGGGGGUGUGGUAUAUGUGUGUGGUUUGUGUGUGUUUGUGUGUGUGGUAUGUGAUGUGUGUGUAUAGUGUAUAGAUAUAUGUGGUAUGUAUAUAUAGUAUGUGUAUGUGAUGUGCUAUGUAGUAUAUGUGUAUGUGAUAUGUGUAUUGUGUGUGCUAUGGUGUGGUAUAUGUGUGUAUUUAUGUGUGUGUGGUAUGUGGUGUGUGUGUGUGUUUGUGUGUGUGGUAUGUGAGGUGUGUAUAUGUGUGGUGUUUGUGGUGUGUGGUAUGGGGUGUGUGUGUGUUUGUGUGUGUGGUAUGUGAUGUGUGUAUAGUGUGUAGAAAUGUGUGCAUAUGUGUGUUAUAUGUGGUGUUUGUGGUAUGUGGUAUGGGGUGUGUGUGUGUUUAUGUGUGUGGUAUGUGAUGUGUGUGUGUAUAGUGUAUAGAUAUAUGUGGUAUGUAUAUAUAGUAUGUGUAUGUGAUGUGCUAUGUAGUAUAUGUGUAUGUGAUAUGUGUAUUGUGUGUGCUAUGGUGUGGUAUAUGUGUGUAUUUAUGUGUGUGUGGUAUGGGGUGUGUGUGUUUGUGUGUGUGGUAUGUGAGGUGUAUGUAUAGUGUGUAGAUAUGUGUGCAUAUGUGUGGUAUGUGUGGUGUUUGUGGUGUGUGGUAUGGGGUGUGUGUGCAUGUGUGUGUGUGUGUGUGUGUGUGUGUGUGUGUGUGUGUGUGUGUUCUACCAGGUCUGUACCUUCAGGAGAUCCUUACCUGGGGUUGUAGGAGAGGUAGUCACAAGCGUUUAUUCCAUAUGGCAGGAAGCCACCUUCCUGACCUAAAUACAAGGUUUUGACCACAAAGGCCCCCUGGUGAGAGCCAGUUAUGGCAGAGUAGAGGGCCAUGCCUAGAGCAGGACCAUCUGAGUUUGCAUUCUGACAACUGUCUGACCUUGGAAGAGUGUAAUUUCCUGUGUUUUCAUCGCCUCAUGAACAUGUGAGAUGCUAACCACAUUGCCCAGGACCAUGCCAGACACAAAUCCCACCUCAGCACUGGCGUCACCAAAGAAGCUGAUUCAGUUACAUUAAGAGCAGCCAAUGAGGAGACUGGAGAGAUGGCUCAGUGGUGAAGAGCACUGGCUGAUUUUUCCAGAGGACCCCUCUUCAGUUCCCAGCACCCACCUGGCAGCUCAUUACCACCUACAACCCCAGUUCCAAGGGAUCUGACAUCUUCUUCUGGGCACCAGGCAUGCAGACAGUGACGGCAUCUAUUCAGUUCCUGAGAAACUCUACAUCAGAAAGACUCUGCCCUCAUUCGCAUGUGACAAGAGGCACAGCCAAGUGGCCCUGUGGAACAUCACUUUGCCUCCAGCUUCCCAGCACAGAGAGACCAGGAAUAAGAAAACUCCUAAUUAGUGAUUUAGUCCAACCUCGGAUGGCCAUUGGCUCUCACCCUGGGAACUGGGUGAACCCCAUUGAUGUUCAAUAUUUUGCUCUCAUAAGGGUUUGAAAAAAUGAUGGAGGUGGUAAA